GCGGGGUAAUAGGCAAAUCCGUUUCCCAUAAGGCUGAGCUGUGAUGGCGAGCGAAAUAUAGUAGCGAAGUUCCUGAUUCCACACUGCCAAGAAAAGCCUCUAGCGAGGUGAGAGGUGCCCGUACCGCAAACCGACACAGGUAGGCGAGGAGAGAAUCCUAAGGUGAUCGAGAGAACUCUCGUUAAGGAACUCGGCAAAAUGACCCCGUAACUUCGGGGGAAGGGGUGCUCUGUUAGGGUGCAAGCCCGAGAGAGCCGCAGUGAAUAGGCCCAGGCGACUGUUUAGCAAAAACACAGGUCUCUGCGAAGCCGUAAGGCGAAGUAUAGGGGCUGACGCCUGCCCGGUGCUGGAAGGUUAAGAGGAGCGCUUAGCGUAAGCGAAGGUGCGAAUUGAAGCCCCAGUAAACGGCGGCCGUAACAAUAACGGUCCUAAGGUAGCGAAAUUCCUUGUCGGGUAAGUUCCGACCCGCACGAAAGGCGCAACGAUCUGGGCACUGUCUCAACGAGAGACUCGGUGAAAUUAUAGUACCUGUGAAGAUGCAGGUUACCCGCGACAGGACGGAAAGACCCCGUGGAGCUUUACUGCAGCCUGAUAUUGAAUGUUGGUACAGCUUGUAUAGGAUAGGUAGGAGCCUUGGAAACCGGAGCGCCAGCUUCGGUGGAGGCAUCGGUGGGAUACUACCCUGGCUGUAUUGACCUUCUAACCCGCCGCCCUUAUCGGGCGGGGAGACAGUGUCAGGUGGGCAGUUUGACUGGGGCGGUCGCCUCCUAAAAGGUAACGGAGGCGCCCAAAGGUUCCCUCAGAAUGGUUGGAAAUCAUUCGCAGAGUGUAAAGGCACAAGGGAGCUUGACUGCGAGACCUACAAGUCGAGCAGGGACGAAAGUCGGGCUUAGUGAUCCGGUGGUUCCGCAUGGAAGGGCCAUCGCUCAACGGAUAAAAGCUACCCCGGGGAUAACAGGCUUAUCUCCCCCAAGAGUCCACAUCGACGGAGAGGUUUGGCACCUCGAUGUCGGCUCAUCGCAUCCUGGGGCUGUAGUCGGUCCCAAGGGUUGGGCUGUUCGCCCAUUAAAGCGGUACGCGAGCUGGGUUCAGAACGUCGUGAGACAGUUCGGUCCCUAUCCGUCGCGGGCGCAGGAAAUUUGAGAGGAGCUGUCCUUAGUACGAGAGGACCGGGAUGGACGCACCGCUGGUGUACCAGUUGUUCUGCCAAGGGCAUCGCUGGGUAGCUAUGUGCGGACGGGAUAAGUGCUGAAAGCAUCUAAGCAUGAAGCCCCCCUCAAGAUGAGAUUUCCCAUUCCGCAAGGAAGUAAGAUCCCUGAAAGAUGAUCAGGUUGAUAGGUCUGAGGUGGAAGUGUGGCGACACAUGGAGCUGACAGAUACUAAUCGAUCGAGGACUUAACCG
rnacentral:rRNA from 1 species